rnacentral:rRNA from 1 species
UGCCAGCCGCCGCGGUAAUACGGAGGGGGUUAGCGUUGUUCGGAAUUACUGGGCGUAAAGCGUACGUAGGCGGAUUAAUAAGUUAGAGGUGAAAUCCCAGGGCUCAACCCUGGAACUGCCUCUAAAACUGGUAAUCUAGAGAUAUGGAGAGGUAAGUGGAAUUCCUAGUGUAGAGGUGAAAUUCGUAGAUAUUAGGAGGAACACCAGAGGCGAAGGCGGCUUACUGGACAUAUACUGACGCUGAGGCACGAAAGUGUGGGGAGCGAACAGGAUUAGAUA